GAGCUCCCUGACGCGACACAAUACUCAGCAGCAGUAUUGUUGGACCCGCAGUGUCAAGCGUCAGUGGGGUCC
rfam:Endocarpon pusillum Z07020 unplaced genomic scaffold scaffold2714, whole genome shotgun sequence.